rnacentral:rRNA from 1 species
CCAACCGGGAUUGCCUUAGUAACGGCGAGUGAAGCGGCAAAAGCUCAAAUUUGAAAUCUGGUACCUUCGGUGCCCGAGUUGUAAUUUGGAGAGGGCAACUUUGGGGCCGUUCCUUGUCUAUGUUCCUUGGAACAGGACGUCAUAGAGGGUGAGAAUCCCGUGUGGCGAGGAGUGCGGUUCUUUGUAAAGUGCCUUCGAAGAGUCGAGUUGUUUGGGAAUGCAGCUCUAAGUGGGUGGUAAAUUCCAUCUAAAGCUAAAUAUUGGCGAGAGACCGAUAGCGAACAAGUACAGUGAUGGAAAGAUGAAAAGAACUUUGAAAAGAGAGUGAAAAAGUACGUGAAAUUGUUGAAAGGGAAGGGCAUUUGAUCAGACAUGGUGUUUUGUGCCCUCUGCUCCUUGUGGGUAGGGGAAUCUCGCAUUUCACUGGGCCAGCAUCAGUUUUGGUGGCAGGAUAAAUCCAUAGGAAUGUAGCUUGCCUCGGUAAGUAUUAUAGCCUGUGGGAAUACUGCCAGCUGGGACUGAGGACUGCGACGUAAGUCAAGGAUGCUGGCAUAAUGGUUAUAUGCCGCCCGUCUUGAAACACGGACCUCCUGUGUGAGGGGAUCCCCCUAAA